GGAGAAGUGGCGGAGUGGACGAACGCACCGGACUGUAAAUUCGGCUUGAAAGACGCCCUGGUUCGAAUCCAGGCUUCUCCACCA
rnacentral:tRNA from 1 species